AGUGAACGCUGGCGGCAGGCCUAACACAUGCAAGUCGAGCGGCAGCGGGUCCUUCGGGAUGCCGGCGAGCGGCGGACGGGUGAGGAAUGCAUCGGAAUCUACCUUGUUGUGGGGGAUAACCUCGGGAAACCGGGACUAAUACCGCAUAAGACCUACGGGUGAAAGUGGGGGACCUUCGGGCCUCACGCGAUAAGAUGAGCCGAUGCCGGAUUAGCUAGUUGGUGGGGUAAAGGCCUACCAAGGCGACGAUCCGUAGCUGGUCUGAGAGGAUGAUCAGCCACACUGGGACUGAGACACGGCCCAGACUCCUACGGGAGGCAGCAGUGGGGAAUAUUGGACAAUGGGCGCAAGCCUGAUCCAGCCAUGCCGCGUGUGUGAAGAAGGCCUUCGGGUUGUAAAGCACUUUUGUUGGGGAAGAAACCGACCGGAUUAAUACUUCGGUUGAAUGACGGUACCCAAAGAAUAAGCACCGGCUAACUUCGUGCCAGCAGCCGCGGUAAUACGAAGGGUGCAAGCGUUACUCGGAAUUACUGGGCGUAAAGCGUGCGUAGGCGGUUAGUUAAGUCUGCUGUGAAAGCCCCGGGCUCAACCUGGGAAUGGCAGUGGAUACUGGCUAGCUAGAGUGUGUCAGAGGAUGGUGGAAUUCCCGGUGUAGCGGUGAAAUGCGUAGAGAUCGGGAGGAACACCAGUGGCGAAGGCGGCCAUCUGGGACAACACUGACGCUGAGGCACGAAAGCGUGGGGAGCAAACAGG
rnacentral:rRNA from 1 species